rnacentral:rRNA from 1 species
AUUGAACGCUGGCGGCAGGCUUAACACAUGUAAGUCGAGCGGAGAUGAGGUGCUUGCACCUUAUCUUAGCGGCGGACGGGUGAGUAAUGCUUAGGAAUCUGCCUAUUAGUGGGGGACAACAUUCCGAAAGGAAUGCUAAUACCGCAUACGUCCUACGGGAGAAAGCAGGGGAUCUUCGGACCUUGCGCUAAUAGAUGAGCAUAAGUCGGAUUAGCUAGUUGGUGGGGUAAAGGCCUACCAAGGCGACGAUCUGGAGCGGGUCUGGGAGGAUGAUCCGCCACACUGGGACUGAGAAACGGGCCAGACUCCUACGGGAGGCAGCAGUGGGGAAUAUUGGAAAACGGGGGGAACCCUGAUCCAGCCAUGCCGCGUGUGUGAAGAAGGCCUUAUGGUUGUAAAGCACUUUAAGCGAGGAGGAGGCUACUGAGACUAAUACUCUUGGAUAGUGGACGUUACUCGCAGAAUAAGCACCGGCUAACUCUGUGCCAGCAGCCGCCGUAA